rnacentral:tRNA from 1 species
GCCGAUGUGGCUCAGGGGUAGAGCAGCUGAUUCGUAAUCAGCAGGUCGUCGGUUCGAAUCCGACCAUCGGCUCCA